rnacentral:rRNA from 1 species
GCAGCCUCCUGGCAUCAUACUGACACUGAGGCUCGAAAGCGUGGGUAGCAAACAGGAUUAGAUACCCUGGUAGUCCACGCCGUAAACGAUGUCUACUAGUCGUUGGGUCCCUUGAGGACUUAGUGACGCAGCUAACGCAAUAAGUAGACCGCCUGGGGAGUACGGCCGCAAGGUUAAAACUCAAAUGAAUUGACGGGGGCCCGCACAAGCGGUGGAGCAUGUGGUUUAAUUCGACGCAACGCGAAGAACCUUACCUACUCUUGACAUCCAGAGAAUUCGCUAGAGAUAGCUUAGUGCCUUCGGGAACUCUGAGACAGGUGCUGCAUGGCUGUCGUCAGCUCGUGUCGUGAGAUGUUGGGUUAAGUCCCGCAACGAGCGCAACCCUUGUCCUUAGUUACCAGCGGGUUAAGCCGGGAACUCUAAGGAUACUGCCAGUGACAAACUGGAGGAAGGCGGGGACGACGUCAAGUCAUCAUGGCCCUUACGACCAGGGCUACACACGUGCUACAAUGGUAGGUACAGAGGGCAGCUACACAGCGAUGUGAUGCGAAUCUCAAAAAGCCUAUCGUAGUCCAGAUUGGAGUCUGCAACUCGACUCCAUGAAGUAGGAAUCGCUAGUAAUCGCGGAUCAGAAUGCCGCGGUGAAUACGUUCCCGGGCCUUGUACACACCGCCCGUCACACCAUGGGAGUUGAUUGCACCAGAAGUGGAUAGCCUAACCUUCGGGAAGGCGUUCACCACGGUGUGGUUGAUGACUGGGGUGAAGUCGUAACAAGGUAGCCGUAGGGGAACCUGCGGCUG